ensembl:rRNA 5S_rRNA 5S ribosomal RNA
GUCUACGGCCAUACCACCCUGAAUGCACCCAAUCUCGUCUGAUCUCAGAAGCUAAGCAGGGUCGGGCCUAGUUAGCAUUUGGAUAGGAGACCUCCUGGAAAUACCAGGUGCUAUAGGUU